AUACGUAGGGGGCAAGCGUUAUCCGGAUUUACUGGGUGUAAAGGGAGCGUAGACGGUGUGACAAGUCUGAUGUGAAAACCCGGGGCUCAACUCCGGGAUUGCAUUGGAAACUGCCAUACUUGAGUGCAGGAGAGGUAAGCGGAAUUCCUAGUGUAGCGGUGAAAUGCGUAGAUAUUAGGAGGAACACCGGCGGCGAAGGCGGCUUACGGGACUGUAACUGACGUUGAGGCUCGAAAGCGUGGGGAGCAAACAGGAUUAGAUACCCGGGUAGUCCACGCCGUAAACGAUGAAUACUAGGUGUUGGGAGACAAUAGUUUCUCGGUGCCGCAGCAAACGCAAUAAGUAUUCCACCUGGGGAGUACGUUCGCAAGAAUGAAACUCAAAUGAAUUGACGGGG
rnacentral:rRNA from 1 species